CCCGCUUUCCUCUCUCCCUCCCGGGCCAUUCAGGACGCGCGACCUUUUACACUCAGUGCGGAUUAGGAACGGGCGCCCCUGACGACGCCUCCCUGGGUUCUUAUUCGGCUGCCUCGUUUACAAACUGCUCUUCCUCCGCCCCCCGGAAUCAAAAGGCUUGUUCCAUAAAGGGAAGCGGCACCGUCUGGCGUUAAUGGGCUGCGGAGCCCAGAAGUGCGGGCUGCGCGAGGCGACAGGGCUGCCGCCGCACAGUCCCCUCGGGGACGCGCCGAGGGCCGCAGCGCAGGGGGCGCUAGGGGGCGAGAGGCGGGCGCCGGCGAGCACCAAUCACAGCGCGGCCCCGCCCUAUAAAUAGGCCGCGCCCGGGCCGCCGGCGUCUUCCUGCUCAGUCAGGUCCUCGCAGCUCGCUCGGUCCGCUCCGCUCUCACCAUGUCUGAGACCGCGCCGCCCGCGCCGGCCACCUCCACUCCCCCCGAGAAGCCCGCGGCCGGCAAGAAAGCCAAGAGGCCGGCCAAGGCCGCGGCUGCCGCCAAAAAGAAGCCCACGGGCCCCUCCGUGUCGGAGCUGAUCGUGCAGGCGGUGUCCUCCUCCAAGGAGCGCAGCGGCGUGUCCCUGGCCGCGCUCAAGAAGGCGCUCGCGGCCGCCGGCUACGACGUGGAGAAGAACAACAGCCGCAUCAAGCUGGGCCUCAAGAGCCUGGUGAGCAAGGGCACCCUGGUGCAGACCAAGGGCACCGGCGCCUCGGGCUCCUUCAAGCUCAACAAGAAGGCGGCCUCCGGGGAAGCCAAGGCCAACCCCACGAAGGUGGCGAAGGCCAAGGUGACGGGCGUUUCCAAGAAACCUAAAAAGGUCACGGCAGCUGUUAAAAAAGCUGUUAAGACUCCGAAAAAGGCCAAAAAGCCGGCGGUGGCCAAGAAGUCGUCCAAGAGCCCCAAGAAGCCCAAGGUUGUGAAGCCUAAAAAAGUAGCCAAGAGCCCUGCCAAAGCCAAGGCUGUGAAGCCCAAGGCGGCCAAGGCGAAGGUGACCAAGCCAAAGACGGCCGCCAAGCCCAAAAAGGCCGCACCCAAGAAGAAGUAAGCGUUGCAGUUGGAACUUAUUCCAAUAACCCAACGGCUCUUUUAAGAGCCACCAACAUACUUCGGAGGAAAGAGCUUUAGAUAAUGCGAACAAGUUCUCUACCGCUGUUCACUUAGCAGUCUGUCCUGGAUGUUUGGCUGUAAUGGGACCCAGAGCUCUCCAUCUCUUUCCACAG